CCCUCCCUAAAUUAAGUAAGAGGAGCGGGAAGGUCUAGGGCUGAGAGAGCCUAUCACGUGGAAAUAACAAACCCAGAAAAUCAUGUGGCCCCUGGACGAAGAGCUUUGCAAUAAGAAGGUCCUGAGGGUGUGGGGGUCCUCAUUUGUUGGUUUGUAGGGGAUCUCACUAAUAUGGAGCUUCUUGGAAGAACCAGCAAGAAACCGUCCUCGGCCCUCGAGGGAAGAUAUUAAGGAAGAGAGAAAAAGAGAGAGACAGAGACAGAGACAACAACACCAACACUAACACCAAGGGAAAGGAGUCUCAAGAUGAUGUGCCUUUCCCAGAGGUUUAUACCUCCAGAAAUGGCAAGUAACUAAGUCAGUCUUUACAGUCAUCAUGUUGACCGUCUAAAAGGAAGGCAGUCUGAGGUCUCCUACAUGAGCUCCUCCAGGGGUCCAGUUCCACAGUCAAGUGUCUUCACUCCAAGUCCAAGUGUCUGUCUUCCAGUCUCUCCUCAAGUGUCUGUCUUCACUCCAGACAACAACAAAGUUGAUAAUUUCCAUAGAGAACAAAGAAAAGAGAAUUGCUUGUGAAAUCAUCUCAGGUACAUAUAGAUUAUUUAUAAGCAUGUGAUACAUUUCAAAAUGUAAUUCUUA
rnacentral:lncRNA from 1 species